AGCGAACGUUAGCGGCGGGCUUAACACAUGCAAGUCGAACGAGAAAAUGGCUUCGGUCAUGAGUAAAGUGGCAGACGGGUGCGUAACACGUGGGUAAUCAACCUUGUGGCGGGGGACAACCUUCCGAAAGGAGGGCUAAUACCGCAUAAGUCCGGAGGGUCUGCGGAUCUUCCGGGGAAGGAGGGCGCAAGCUCUCACCGCCAGACGAACCCGCGUCCCAUCAGCUAGUUGGUGAGGUAAUGGCUCACCAAGGCAAAGACGGGUAGCUGGUCUGAGAGGAUGACCAGCCACACUGGAACUGCGACACGGUCCAGACUCCUACGGGAGGCAGCAGUGGGGAAUAUUGGGCAAUGGGCGAAAGCCUGACCCAGCCACGCCGCGUGAGUGAUGAAGGCCUUCGGGUCGUAAAGCUCUGUGGAGAGGGACGAAAUGCCAUCGGUUAACACCCGGUGGUUUUGACGGUACCUCUUUAGCAAGCACCGGCUAACCACGUGCCAGCCGCCGCCGUAAUAC
rnacentral:rRNA from 1 species